rnacentral:misc_RNA from 1 species
UGGAAAAGGCUCUGGCCUGG